rnacentral:rRNA from 1 species
UACAGAGGUCUCAAGCGUUGUUCGGAUUCAUUGGGCGUAAAGGGUGCGUAGGUGGCGCGGUAAGUCGGGUGUGAAAUUUCGGAGCUUAACUCCGAAACUGCAUUCGAUACUGCCGUGCUUGAGGACUGGAGAGGAGACUGGAAUUUACGGUGUAGCAGUGAAAUGCGUAGAGAUCGUAAGGAAGACCAGUGGCGAAGGCGGGGUCUCUGGACAGUUCCUGACACUGAGGCACGA